UACGUAGGGUGCGAGCGUUGUCCGGAAUUAUUGGGCGUAAAGAGCUCGUAGGCGGUCUGUCGCGUCUGCUGUGAAAUCCCGAGGCUCAACCUCGGGCCUGCAGUGGGUACGGGCAGACUAGAGUGCGGUAGGGGAGAUUGGAAUUCCUGGUGUAGCGGUGGAAUGCGCAGAUAUCUGGAGGAACACCGGUGGCGAAGGCGGCAUCCUGGACCGGCAUUGACGCUGAGGCGCGAAAGCUAGGGGAGCAAACGGG
rnacentral:rRNA from 1 species